rnacentral:rRNA from 1 species
CCUACGGGAGGCAGCAGUGAGGAAUAUUGGUCAAUGGUCGGGAGACUGAACCAGCCAAGCCGCGUGAGUGAAGAAGUAUCUCGGUACGUAAAGCUCUAGCAGCAGGAAAGCAAAUGACGGUACCUGACUAAGAAGCCCCGGCUAACUACGUGCCAGCAGCCGCGGUAAUACGGAGGGGGCAAGCGUUAUCCGGAUUUACUGGGUGUAAAGGGAGCGUAGACGGCGCUGCAAGUCCGGAGUGAAAGCCCAUGGCUUAACCAUGGUACUGCUCUGGAAACUGUAGAGCUUGAGUGCGGGAGGGGCAGGCGGAAUUCCUGGUGUAGCGGUGAAAUGCGUAGAUAUUAGGAGGAACACCGGCGGCGAAGGCGGCCUGCUGGACCGUAACUGACGUUGAGGCUCGAAAGCGUGGGGAGCAAACAGGAUUAGAUACCCGAGUAGUC